rnacentral:lncRNA from 1 species
GACUCGCCCGAUGUUUUGAACCUUGAGUUCAUUGUGACUUUUACACGAUUUCUCUUAUUUAAAUUAGGAAAGAAAUCUUCAAUCUUUUGCUAAUAAUUUUUUAUGAAAAAUGAUCUUAUAGGACCCCCCACUACCCAUGUAUAUAGAGCCCUAAUGAAGCACCAUUAAAUUUGACACGGAUCUAUAGAAAAAUCAAGUCCUGUAUCAUAUGAUAACUUUUUUAGAAAUCCAUACCAACUUUAAUGGUGAUUCUUUAGAAUCCUACACACAUAGGUGGGGGAGGAUCUUAUAGGAUCAUUAUUCAUUUUUUAUAUUAAUCAUUUAGUUUUCCCUCGCAUUUCCAAAUUUUCAAGCUCGCUCAUUUUCAAGAAAAUAUCAUUAAAAUUGCUGAAUCGCAUCAAAAUUCAGAAAGGUGGUGAAAUCACCUUGUUUAUCACUAUUGCGGUCACUCUAAUAAGAUCAUUUCACUCAAAUAUCUAGUUAUUUAAAGUUUAUAUAAGGAUGCAACCUUAUAAAGUAGAACUACGGAUGCACUUCAAAAAUCUAUCGGAAAAGGUAGUUUUAAUGUUGAAAAGCCCUUUGAUUGAUCAUCUCGACAUCGAGAUAUAUGAACAUGAGAA